rnacentral:rRNA from 1 species
UGUUGAUGGAAUAAUGUAGGCAAGGAAAGUCGACAAAAUAGAUUCAUAAAUUCUAGAAAAGGAUUGGUACUGAGGGUUGGGCAUGGGGGUACCAGUACCAAACCCGUCGGCUGUCGGUGGACUACUCGUUCUGCUUUUGCAGUGAGAGCGGGUCGCUGCGUGCCAGUCAGGGGACGGACUGGGAACGGUUCCUUCGGGGGCCUUCCUCGCACGUCGAACAGCCAACUCAGAACUUGUACAGACAAAGGGAAUCCGACUGUUUAAUUAAAACAAAGCAUUGCGAUGGUCCCAACGGAUAUUCACGCAUUCUGAUUUCUACCCAGUGCACUGAAUGUCAAAGUGAAGAAAUUCAACCAAGCACGUGUAAAUGGCGGGAGUAACUAUAACUUUCUUAAUGUAGCCAAAUACCUCUUCAUCUAAUUAGUGACAUGCAUGUAUGGAUUAACGAGAUUCCCACUAUCCCUGUCUACUAUCCAGCAAAACCACAGCCAAGGAAACGAGCUUGGUAGAGUCAGCGGGGAAAGAAGACCCUCUUAAACUUGACUCUACUCCGACUUUGUGAAAUGACUUGAGAGGUGUAGUGUAAGUGGGAGCCGAAAGGCGAAAGUAAAGUACCACUACUUUUAAUGUUAUUUUACUUAUUAAGUGAAUCGGCAAUGGGGCAUUACCCCUCUUUUUUGACCCAAGGGCCGCUCUGCGGGCCGAUCCGAGCAGAAGACAUUGUCAGGUGGGGAGUUUGGCUGGGGUGGCAUAUCUGUUAAAAGAUAAUGCAUGUGUCUUAAGAUAAGCUCAACAAGAAUAGAUAUAUCGUGUAGAACAAAAGGGUAAAAUCUCGUUGGAUUCUGAUUUUCAGUACGAAUACGAACCAUGAAAGUGUGGCCUAACGAUCCUUUAGACCUUCAGAAUUCGAAGCUAGAGGUCUCAAAAUAGUGUUACCACACGGAUAACUGGCCUGUUGCAGCCAAGAAUUCAUAGCGACAUUGCUUUUACAUCCUUCGAUGUCGGCUCUUCCUAUCAUUGUGAAGCAGAAUUCACCAAGUGUUGGACUGUUCACAUACCAAUAGGGAACGUAAUCUGGUUUUAGAUCGUCGUGAGAUAGGUUAGUUUUACCCUACUUAUGAUAGUGUCACAAUAGUAAUCCAACCUAGUACGAGAGGAAAUGUUGAUUCACAUAAUUUGUCAUCGCGCUUGGUUAAAAAGCCAGUGGCGCAAAGCUACCGUGUGCUGGAUUAUGACUGAAUGCCUCUAAGUUAAAAUCUGGACUAAAAGAGAAGUAUGCGCCCGCUGUCCAUUUGCUGACCCGCAGUAGGGGUCUCGGCCCCCAAGGGUACGUGUCAUUUGCUAAUCCACCGUGGUAGAAGAGUCGCGGUGGCCUCCUUGAAGUAUAAUUUCCAUCGAGCUGUGGGUAGAAUCCUUUGCAGACGACUUAAAUAUGCGACAGGGUAUUGUAAGUGAAAGAGUGGCCUUGUUGCCAUAAUCCACUGAUAUUCAUCCCUUUAUCGCUCUGGUUCGUCCCUCCUCAUCCA